CACAUCCCCGACGUUUCCCUGCGCUCCCAGAGGUGGCCGUGUUUGCAGCCAAGACAGCCAGCGUCUCCCACAAGGCUGUCGCAGCGUCCACGGCUGCCUUGCUUCACCUGCUGGCGUUGCUAUACUUCCACUUUGCAUACCACAGAAUGGUCGAAGCUCUGGACGGCAUUUAGAGCAUCCAAAGGUUCCACGAACCGACAACUUCUGUACAGAUACAAGAGUGUUUCUUAGGUUUGACGACCCUAUGUAGUCUGUGACACACUUGAAAGUGUGACGACUUGUUGCAACACUGAUUUUUCUAUGCCUUACUUACACCUGGUAUUUCGAAAUGCUCUCGUCAUUUUUUGCAAUUCAUUUGUGUCGUUUCGAGUCAGUUUGCCCUGAAAGCCGAUCAAGCGCCACGCGCCGUGGUCUUGUUUCUGAAAUAAAAAGGGGUUCUAGCUUUCA
rnacentral:lncRNA from 1 species